GGGUUGUGAGGUUAAGCGACCAAGCGUACACGGUGGAUGCCCUGGCAGUCAGAGGCGAUGAAGGACGUGCUAAUCUGCGAAAAGCGCCGGUAAGGUGAUAUGAACCGUUAUAACCGGCGAUGUCCGAAUGGGGAAACCCAGUGUGACUCGUCACACUAUCAUUAACUGAAUCCAUAGGUUAAUGAGGCGAACCGGGGGAACUGAAACAUCUAAGUACCCCGAGGAAAAGAAAUCAACCGAGAUUCCCCCAGUAGCGGCGAGCGAACGGGGAGGAGCCCAGAGCCUGAAUCAGCAUGUGUGUUAGUGGAAGCGUCUGGAAAGGCGCGCGAUACAGGGUGACAGCCCCGUACACAAAAGCGCAUGUGCUGUGAGCUCGAUGAGUAGGGCGGGACACGUGGUAUCCUGUCUGAAUAUG
rnacentral:rRNA from 1 species